rnacentral:rRNA from 1 species
UCCGGUGCCUUAGGAUCGCUCUGCGACUUAUCAGGUUGUAGGGAGGGUAACGGCCUCCCUAGCCUACGACGAGUACGGGCGUUGAGAGACGUCGCCCGGAGAUGAACUCUGAGACACGAGUUCAGGCCCUACGGGGCGCAGCAGGCGCGAAAACUGCACAAUGCUGGAAACAGCGAUGCGGGAAUUCCAAGUGCCGGCACUAAGUGUCGGCUGUUCCAUUGUCUAAAAAACAUAGGAAGUAAGGGCUGGGUAAGACGGGUGCCAGCCGCCGCGGUAAUACCUGCAGCCCGAGUGGUGGCCGUUAUUAUUGGGCCUAAAACGUCCGUAGCCGGUUGCGUAGAUGCCUGUGUAAAUCGAACGGCUUAACCGUUCGAAUUGCGGGUAGACCGCGCGACUUGGGACCGGGAGAGUCACGAAGUACUCCGGGGGUAGAGGUGAAAUUCUGUAAUCCUCGGGGGACUACCGGUGGCGAAGGCGUCGUGAUAGAACGGCUCCGACGGUGAGGGACGAAGCCCUGGGGCGCAAACCGGAUUAGAUACCCGGGUAGUCCAGGGUGUAAACGCUGCGGUCUUGGUGUCGCCAGUCCUACGAGGGCAGGCGGUGCCGGAGAGAAGUUGUUAAGACCGCUGCCUGGGGAGUACGGCCGCAAGGUUGAAACUUAAAGGAAUUGGCGGG